UUGGGGGCGCAACGCCCU
rnacentral:snRNA from 1 species